rnacentral:piRNA from 1 species
AUGCUCAGGGCUGAGUCUUAAAGAAGGGU